rnacentral:rRNA from 1 species
AGUGAACGCUGGCGGUAGGCCUAACACAUGCAAGUCGAACGGCAGCACAGUAAGAGCUUGCUCUUACGGGUGGCGAGUGGCGGACGGGUGAGGAAUACAUCGGAAUCUACUUUUUCGUGGGGGAUAACGUAGGGAAACUUACGCUAAUACCGCAUACGACCUACGGGUGAAAGCAGGGGAUCUUCGGACCUUGCGCGAUUGAAUGAGCCGAUGUCGGAUUAGCUAGUUGGCGGGGGAAAGGCCCACCAAGGCGACGAUCCGUAGCUGGUCUGAGAGGAUGAUCGGCCACACUGGAACUGAGACACGGUCCAGACUCCUACGGGAGGCAGCAGUGGGGAAUAUUGGUCAAUGGGCGCAAGCCUGAUCCAGCCAUACCGCGUGGGUGAAGAAGGCCUUCGGGUUGUAAAGCCCUUUUGUUGGGAAAGAAAAGCAGCAGGUUAAUACCCCGCUGUUCUGACGGUACCCAAAGAAUAAGCACCGGCUAACUUCGUG